GUAGUUCAGACGUAGGUAAAAAAAACAGAAGAAAUAAUUUAUACUCUGUAAGUAAGAAAAAACAUACUACUUGCAUUUAAUUGUGCAUCUUCAUACUUUCAACUUUUAAUAAUUUUUUAGCUAUUGAUACUUUGAGAAUAUUUUAUUCCAUACUCUUUUCGUAUAUUUUAUUACUUCAUACGCGAAGUUGAGGAAUAAUAGAAAGUAAUAAACAUAAAAAGGGAAAUAAUUUUUUAGCUAUUGAUACUCUGAGAAUAUUUAUUUUAGUUGAGGAAUAAUAAAAAGAAAAUGAAACAAAUAAUAAAAUACGCCCGGAAAAAAAAAAGAAAAAAAAAAGUAAUAAAAUAUGAAGAGAGUAAUAGUCAAAAUGACGUAUAAUUGUACGUCUGUAUCGAGUUUUACGUGUCAAUUAUUCGAGAUGGGAGGUAUCAUAUGGACUACGGAGUAGCUAAGUUGGGUGGGCGGAAGCCAUGUUGCCACGUUUGUGAGGUUUCGAAGCAUAUAGCGGACAUUCUCAUAUUCAUUCAUAGCAACGAAUUGGAAUCAUCUUGUGCAUCUUCCAUGGCAGCUAACUUCCUCAAUCCACCAAACCCUCUCUAUUAAUGCAUGAAAGGGAUAGUGUUGUUACUAUAUCAAGUGAUGACAGGGGAAUUAACAAUGUCCUCUCCUCCGAGUUUGUUGCCCUCCAGAAUAUCAUAUUGGGGGACCAGGAAUUUGGUUUAGCCAAAUCUUCAGUUAUUUGCCUAAUUGAUUGGCCAAAUAGCCCAACACAGGCUUGAAGAAUUUUCAAAGCAAGGAUGUUAACCUUUUCAGGUUUUACCUGUUGCAAAUCAUCCCCAGCUCUUUCCGGUAGAGUCGUUGUACUGGAUUGCACUAGCCAAAGGCAACGUGGGACGCAAACAAUAUGUAGUGGCUUGUGACUCGCUGAUUGCUUGCAGUUACAGGCUUGCAGCGACACAACCUAUACGGAGAGAGUGGCUUAUGCUUGCAGCUCUAAGUAUUGUGAUGGCAUUUGUAAAUUUCAAUUUUGCAUAGCAAAGGGAAAUUUACCAAUGUCCUAAUAUUUUACCAUGAUGAAUUCAUGAUGAUAUCGCAUCACCAUCAAUAUAAUGCAGUUAGCACUAUGGACAAUGUUGUACGAGAGUGGGGUAUUCCUUAGCUUAUAACUUAUGUGGUUGAUGCACUCAUGCAUAUGAACCAUUAAUGUGCUGCAAACGCAAGAGAUAUUUAUAAUUUGUUGAAAUUUUGCUACCGUGAAUAACAUUUUAACAUGUAAAUGAUUGUCCUUUGAAUAGGGAUAAUUAUUGUUGGUCCAUUUUUAUCUAAUUUUCUUACUUUUAACAA